UCCCUUGGAAGAAAUCUGAUAAAAUUGAAAAGAUGCAGAGAUGAUUAACAUAACUCAAACAUAAGGAUACAGAAAAAUCGAGAAAUGAACCAAUUUUUU